UAGGGAAUCUUCCACAAUGGACGCAAGUCUGAUGGAGCAACGCCGCGUGAGUGAAGAAGGUUUUCGGACCGUAAAGCUCUGUUGUUGGUGAAGAAGGAUAGAGGUAGUAACUGGCCUUUUAUUUGACGGUAAUCAACCAGAAAGUCACGGCUAACUACGUGCCAGCAGCCGCGGUAAUACGUAGGUGGCAAGCGUUGUCCGGAUUUAUUGGGCGUAAAGCGAGCGCAGGCGGAAGAAUAAGUCUGAUGUGAAAGCCCUCGGCUUAACCGAGGAAUUGCAUCGGAAACUGUUUUUCUUGAGUGCAGAAGAGGAGAGUAGAACUCCAUGUGUAGCGGUGGAAUGCGUAGAUAUAUGGAAGAAUACCAGUGGCGAAGGCGGCUCUCUGGUCUGCAACUGACGCUGAGGCUCGAAAGCAUGGGUAGCGAACAGGAUUAGAUACCCUUGGUAGUCCAUGCC
rnacentral:rRNA from 1 species